rnacentral:rRNA from 1 species
UCACCUACGGGACGCAGCAGUGGGGAAUAUUGCACAAUGGGGGAAACCCUGAUGCAGCGACGCCGCGUGAGUGAAGAAGUAUUUCGGUAUGUAAAGCUCUAUCAGCAGGGAAGAAAAAAGACGGUACCUGACUAAGAAGCCCCGGCUAACUACGUGCCAGCAGCCGCGGUAAUACGUAGGUGGCAAGCGUUGUUCGGAAUAACUGGGCGUAAAGGAUGCGUAGGCGGUUAAACAAGUUAUAUGUUAAAUAUAUAGGCUUAACCUGUAGAAAGCAUUUUAAACUGUUUAACUAGAGUGCAGGAGAG